UACAAACCGGGACUAAGAAAAAAGAGGAGAGAAAAAGUGGAAGAAAAGAAUUCAUCGUCAUUUCUGUAGUUGUAUUGCAUUCAUUGCUCGUUUUGUAAAAAUACACUUAUUGUUUCUAA
rnacentral:ribozyme from 14 species